rfam:Oryza glaberrima chromosome 2 Oglab02_0248_2, whole genome shotgun sequence.
CCAGUUGAUGAUGAGGAGCUCAUCUCCUACAUUCUUGCCGGGCUGGAUUUCGACUACAACUCGGUGGUCUCGUCUAUCACGGGACGCCCCGAUCCAAUCUCUGUGAGCGAUGUAUAUGCGCUCCUGGUUGGCUUUGAGU